rnacentral:misc_RNA from 1 species
GAACGAUGCAGACUUAAUGGCAUUGUGGAUUGUGGUGAACGACAUCAACACAUUUACAGAAGAACUAUGCUACUGGCAGAACAAGUUAAAGUCAGCAGGGGGAGCCCCCUUAUUACAUGUCUUCUGGAAGGCCCAAGUGGAAGUGGCAAGACUGCAAUGGCAGCAACCGUUGGAAUUGAAAGUGAUUUUCCCUAUGUCAAGAUAAUUUCUGCUGAAACUAUGAUUGGGCUCAGCGAAAGCAGCAAAUGUUCUCAGAUAGUCAAGGUAUUUGAGGAUGCAUACAAGUCACCACUUAGUAUAGUGGUCCUUGAUGGGAUUGAAAGACUUCUGGAAUAUGUUCCAAUUGGCCCUCGAUUUUCAAAUUUGAUUUCUCAAACGCUUAUGGUGCUUCUUAAACGGCUUCCUCCUAAGGGUAAAAAGAUUCUUGUGAUUGGAACUACUAGUGAAUCCGGUUUCUUGGAGUCAGUUGGCCUUUCUGAUGCCUUCUCAGUCACAUACCAUGUUCCAACACUGAAGACAGAAGAUGCCAAGAAGGUGUUGCAACAACUUGAUGUCUUUGCAAGCGAUGACGUUGAUUCUGCUGCUGAGGCCUUAAAUGAUAUGCCCAUCAAGAAACUCUACAUGGUUGUUGAAAUGGCUGCACAGGGUGAACACGGUGGGACAGCAGAAGCCAUCUAUUCUGGCAAAGAAAAGAUUAAUAUCGCACAUUUCUAUGAUUGCCUUCAAGAUAUUGUUCGAUAUUGAGUGUGUGGUCUCGAGUAAUUUAGGUAGGAACCAUGGUUUUCCUGUGAGUCCUUUACACCUUACCGUUGAUUGCUGAUUUGCACACACCCCGUUGAUGGGGUUCUUCUAUUCAUGAGUUAUUCAGAGGUUUUUAUUGGCGAUUCACGCAAGAUGUGUUAGAGCUCAUUCGUGAACUUCAUUUGCUUUCUAGUUUUUGGUACUUCCUUUUCUAUUCGUUUUGUUGUGCCAGCGUAUUGUAAGUAAUCUCUGUUCAGUUGAACUUUGCACCUAAU